GGCUAGGUGUGUUUUGUUUCUCCCAAGAAAACAUCAUAUGGUCAAAUCUGAAGUAUCGCUGUAAUGACACAAUACCUGAAGAUUUUCAAGACUUCAGGACUCAGCAUUUUCAAGGUGAUGCAGUUUAAAAAGAAAAUCCAGAUGCAACAAUGUUCAGCAUUAAGUAAACAGUACAAAACAGUCCACUUAUCUCUUCAAAUAUGUAACCCAAUUGUAUUUGAAUUAUGAAUAAAAAACAUGUUAAAGUGGA